AAAUAUCUAAAGAAAUCAAAUUGAACUAAGAAGAAAAGGAACAGAAUCAUGACAUUGAAUUUGAUGUUGUUUACGUGCAAAAGAUUUUGGUGGACCGGCAGAUAUGGAAGAAAGGACGAUGUAUUUCUUCAUCUGCGAGGUUUGAAAUUACAUUGUCUCCUUCUUUCCCUUCACUUAAUUUGCUAUUUACGUAUGCUUACAGUCAUCUCAAUGACACUCAAAGUUUUAUAACUUUUUUAUUUGUAUCUUUAUAUUUUUUGGGUAAUUUGUAAAUUCUAUUGUCUCAUUGUUGGAUCCCCGCGUAGUUGCUUGAGUUCAUCGUGUCUUCGUGGGUUCAGCUUUAAAAAGGCAGGUAGUGAUACGCUUAGUUAGGCCACCUUUCAAGCCCAUGAAUGUAAACAUAUGUAGUAACUGUGACUAGUGGCAACGGCUCCACAAGUGCCGCUCUCCUGCUGCCGCAAAAGCAUCACACGUGGUUUAUCUUAAUCCAGCUUGGACCAACUUGCAAAUCAAACCACUAGAUUCUGCUCUGGUCUUCAUGGUUCGGCGAAUCGGUGUGACGAGCCAGAUUGAACCAUUGGGGAGGAGAUAAAUCAUUAAUAUCUUAUCUCUCAUAUCAAUUAUUCUUCUUAUGAAUAUCUUAAAUAUUUUAUAUCAAUUAUUGUUCUUAUGAACC
rnacentral:lncRNA from 1 species